rnacentral:lncRNA from 1 species
GUUGCAGAAGUAAAAACAAAAGAAUAAAAGUAUAUGAAUGAUAAAAAUAUAAGAAAAAAAUUAUAAAAAUAAUAAAUUAUAUUUAUAACAGCAGUAAAAGUUAAGAAUUAAAGUUUAAAGACUAAAAAAAUCGUGUUUCAUAGUUUGAGCAAAAAAAUUAGAAAAAACUUCAAAUACCCUCCCUGUGGUUCCGCACUUUCUCACUUUAAUAUCUUAUAGUUUAAAGUGUAUCAAGUUAGUACCAUGUGGUUUCGUACUUUCUCACUUUACUAUCAUGUGAUUUCAACUGUAUCAAGUUAGUACCCUGUAUCUGCGGCAAAGCGCGAAUACAUUGCUAGUCACCAUCUAUUCCCUCUUAAUGCCACCUGUGAGAUCCCUGGUGUAUGACUGUGGAGGCUUGUCGACAGCUCUGGAGAGUGUCGGGACAAGUCUGAGUCGCGUUGGCAUCAAAUAAACGUAAAACGGACUCCGUGCGACGCGAGGGCAGCUUAUCGCGAAGAAUUCUGCAAAACAGCAGCAUUCUCUGCUUGCUGUACCGGUACAACCAGCGUGGCUGUACCGGUACAACCAUCGCGCAAU